rnacentral:rRNA from 1 species
GUUAAAAAGCUCGUAGUUGAUUUCUGUUAGUGGACUAUGGUCUGCUCUUUGAGUAUGUACUAGAUUGGCUCUAUACAUUAUAUGUUGCCUUUGCAGUUGCUUAAUUGCACUCUAAAUGCGCUCAUAUCUAUUACUUUGAGGAGAGCACAGUGUUUAUAGCAGAUAUUUGUUGUGAAUGUGCUAGCAUGGCAUGACUCGGCAAGGCGAACUUUCGAAUUUGUUUGACCCUACAUAAGUGAGCAAUGAAUAGAAGGGGUAGAGGGGGGUAUUCGUAUUAUCGCGCUAGAGGUGGAAUUCUUAGAUUGCGUUACGACGGGCAACUGCGAAAGCAUUUAUCAGUAAUGCUUCCACCAAUCAAGAACGAAAGUAAGGGGAUCGAAGAUGAUUAGAUACCGUCGUAGUCCAUACCGUAAACUAUGCCAUCUGGGGAUUGAAGGGACUACUUACGACGCCUUACAGAAUCUUAUGAGAAAUUAGAGUCUUUCGGUUCCGGGGGGAGUAUGGUCCGCAAGACUGAAACUUAAAGGAAUUGACGGAAGGGCACCACCAGGAGUGGAGCUUGCGGCUUAAUUGACUCACGCGGAAAAACUCACCAGGUCCAGACAUAGUGAGGAU